UUUUUCGAGAAGUGCACGUCAGGCUACGACGUAGGGUCCGGCGUAGACGCUGAGGGGUCUGCGGGGGUACGCCGUCGAUUCUACGCAGAAGCAUAAAAAGGCCUUAAGGAGUGGGACUUCAUUCUCUGCUAAGGACGCCAUUACUCCCACUAUAUCUUCACAUAGCAAAUAUUUGUUUGCUGCUAUAUUAAUGGUCUGAAUGUCGAGUACAGCCCCUUUAAACUCCAUGUUGAUUUUAAGCUCAGCUCAGCUCAGCUUGCCCAUUGCAGCUCAGUUACACCAAUGGCUUGAAACAAGCAAAAUCAGUAAAGAAUGUUUGCAUGCUUGACCCUAAAUACAGCUGUUAGAAUGUAAUAGUUUUUGUAUAAACUUUAAAACAGAUCAAAGUCUAGCACUUUCAGUUUGAUGCUUAAGAACACAGUGAAUUUGCCUCUAUUUACUUCUAUAAGAAAUGUCACCAUUUGUGUAACUGGAAUGGAUAUAAUAAUACAUUGUGUAAAUGAGAGGCUCCUAGCCAAUAAACCAGUCCUCCAGUCUUGUAAAUAACAAUGGGAUCGGUUAAACAGUCCCAAGCAUAGUGCCUAAAUAAAAGGCAUGUUCCAUAGUAUGCCUUAUUUAAAAAAAGCCAAGUGUUUUAGCUUGUUUGUCAGUUGUGGAAUG